rfam:Perkinsus marinus ATCC 50983 gcontig_1104296677596, whole genome shotgun sequence.
GCACCGGUAGUCUAAUGGUUGGAUUAUCUGCCUUCCAAGCAGAUUGUCCGGGUUCGAUUCCCGGGCGGUGCA